UACGUAGGGUGCAAGCGUUAUCCGGAAUUAUUGGGCGUAAAGAGCUCGUAGGCGGUUUGUUGCGUCUGCUGUGAAAACCCGAGGCUCAACCUCGGGCCUGCAGUGGGUACGGGCAGACUAGAGUGCGGUAGGGGAGAUUGGAAUUCCUGGUGUAGCGGUGGAAUGCGCAGAUAUCAGGAGGAACACCGAUGGCGAAGGCAGAUCUCUGGGCCGUAACUGACGCUGAGGAGCGAAAGCGUGGGGAGCGAACAGG
rnacentral:rRNA from 1 species